rnacentral:rRNA from 1 species
UACGAAGGGGGGCUAGCGUUGUUCGGAAUUACUGGGCGUAAAGGGCGCGUAGGCGGUGCCUCAAGUCAGGCGUGAAAUCCCCGGGCUUAACCUGGGAAUUGCGUUGGAGACUGCAAGGCUAGAAUCUGGCAGAGGGGGGUAGAAUUCCACGUGUAGCAGUGAAAUGCGUAGAGAUGUGGAGGAACACCGAUGGCGAAGGCAGCCCCCCUGGGUCAAGAUUGACGCUCAUGCACGAAAGCGUGGGGAGCAAACAGG